CCAGAGUUCAGUAGUUUUAGAGUACGUAGAGCAUAUUGGCGUUUUAUGGAUUUUAGCUCUGAAGUUUUAUCGAGAUCUGACAUUAUGUUCUUGAGUGUUUUUAUCGUUGGCACGGUCAUGCUGGUCCUGCUCUUACUUUUUGUACAAGGUUUACUCUGGUGCUGCGAAAGACUGCUGCUGAUGGGGCUACCUCCUACUUCAACUAACCGAACUCCGUAGGGAACCACGCCAGUGACGAUGUGCUUUUCCGUUACAGAACUACAGUUUCAGGAACUUUGUAGCUGGUCAUGGUGAUGUCUUUGUUUCGGUUUCGUGAACGGAACCGAUUGGGAUUUCGAAAUUUGGGUUCUAUGUGAUUUUAAAACAAGGUUAAUCGUAAAGACUUGAUUUGACUGCUCUGCGUUUUUAAGCCUUUUAAUGUUCUCGGUUUUAA